rnacentral:lncRNA from 1 species
UGAAGAAAAUAUUUCAUAAAUAAAAAAAGAAGAGAGUCAAAGUGCAAAAACAUGUUCAAAAUAUUUGAGGAGACAAAACAAAAGGAUUUGCUAAAUCCUAAAGCCUAAGGUUUUUGCAUCAGAAUCUCUAGGAUAGUUGUGAGAUCAGAACCCAUGACAUAUUGCCUAGUAAUCAGAACCUUCAUUUAAACAUCCAUCUCUUCUUGCUUAGUAUACAUGACCUUUUGAAUGACAGCUUCAUAAGACAAUUUCUCCUCUAAAUGCACAUGCUUCUGAUUGGAAGAAGUUACAUACUCAUAU